GAACAUCUGAAGGCCCAAGAUUAGGGACCACUGCUCUAGUUUAGCAGUGUUUAAGGUUGUAUUGCAAGACUUGGACACAAUGGCUGAAAUCCAUUAGUAAGUUGUAACUAGAGUAGCCCCAUUGAAUUAGUGAAAUUUAAAGAGUAGCUGAGUUUCCAAAUUCCAACUGAUUGAAUGGGCCUACUGUACUCAUGAUUUUCUAUUGAUUUUCAGCCACUUUUUCAUGCCAUAUACAUUAUCAUUGGUGUUUAAUAUAUUACAAGGAGCAAUUAUUUGCUGCUUGUUUCAGUAUAUUCUAUUUGCACUGACUGAUUGUACUGUUAUUAUUGCAUUUCUGUUACUUAUAAGCAAUGUUGCCUUUGUGGUGUUAACACCUGGAGGUAGCCCUGAGAGAUUAUUUUCGGAACAGUUCAGAGUUUGUAUCAUUUUCUCAAAUCAUAUCAAGUUCUUCUUAAGAUCCUUCCUCCCUUCCUCCCUCCCUCAUAUUAUAGACUUUGAAAUAAGCAGAGCAUGGAAAAGUUACUCUUUAGAAUUACAGAAGCCCUAAUCAGGGUCACUAUGCCAGUGGUGAAUUCCAGGAAUUGUAAUCUAACAAUAGAAUUUAAAUAUAAACUCUGACAAUAACACUGUGAUAUAAGUUCAGUUGUAUUUGUGUCCAAUGCCAGCCAACUCUGUUGAAGUUAUGAUGAAAUGUUCCAUCCACUUUUCCAGUAAAUUAUUCUUUAGGUUUAUCAAAUAAGUUUAAUCUAGCAUAAUAUUCAGAGAGAGAAAUUAGAGUUGUAUCCAUCUGUAGCAUAAAAGAAAAUGUUUCUUCUGGUGCUAAAUGAAAUGUCACAAUGAUGGAAUUCCUUGAAUUUUGUUUUAUACUUGUCACAGAAGUCAUAGAUAAGAUGAAUUCAGUAGCUGUCCUUCAAGAAGCGAGCUUGCGCAUAGCCUAGUAAGACAAGGUUUAAAGGAAAUUGAGGACAAAGUAUUUUUGAAAUGAGAACCAGGCCAGAUUCUGUGCUGUUCCAAAAGAUUCUGAGUCCAAAUACAUUGAUUUAAGAUUGCAUUGCCGUUUUCAGAAAGGCAUAUUCCAUGACUAAACUCCUCUGAGAGAUAUUACGCUCCCACCAAGUCAGCAUAGAAAGAUCUAGCAACUUCCAUAAAAGCUAAUGGCAAGAAUUAUUCUACUCAGAAAGACAAGCAAAUAAUCUCACCGUUUUC